GCCAAGGAGGGCGUGCUGGAGCGCGGGGCGCGCCAAGGAGGGCGUGCUGGAGCGCGGUGGCGCAGCAAGCAGGGCGUCGGCCCUCGUCCAGCAGCUCGGCGGCGGCCUCGGCGGGCCCGGCGCGGGGCGUCCAGGGGGUCGGCGGUAAGCGGCGCCGGGCGUCCAGCGGCUCGGCGGCGGGGCCUCGGCGGGCUCGGCGCGGGGCGUCCAGGAGGUCGGCGGCGGGCCCCGGUGGGAAGCGGCGUCCCCAACCGUAGCCUGAGUGAUGCCUCUUCUAGCGGUUCAUGAAGAAUAUGUAGGCGACAUUUGCUAGUGGCACGACGCGGUUCUUCACGGCGACGGCGGACCCAAGCGAUCUGCGG
rnacentral:rRNA from 1 species